rnacentral:ncRNA from 1 species
GGAAGGCGAAGAAGGCUCCCUCUCGGGGGGGCCUGAGCCACCAGUGAGAUACCACUCUGGAAGAGCUAGAAUUCUAACCUUGUGUCAGGACCUACGGGCCAAGGGAUAUUCUCAGGUAGAUAGUUUCUAUGGGGUGUAGGCCUCUCAAAAGGUAACGGAGGUGUGCAAAGGUUUCCUCGAGCCGGACGGAAAUUGGUCCUCGAGUGCAAAGGAAGAAGGGAGCUUGACUACAAGACCCACCCAUCGAGCAGGGAUGAAAGUCGGCCUUAGUGAUCUGACGGUGCUGAGUGGAAGGGUCAUCGCUCAAUGGAUAAAAGUUACUCUAGGGAUAACAGGCUGAUCUUCCCCAAGAGUUCACAUCGACGGGAAGGUUUCGCACCUCGAUGUCGGCUCUUUGCCACCUGGGGCAGUAGUACGUUCCAAGGGUUGGGUUGUUCGCCCAUUAAAGCGAUACGUGAGCUGGGUUUAGAAUGUCGUGAGACAGUUCGGUCCAUAUCCGGUGCAGGCGUUAGAGCAUUGAGAGGACCUUUCCCUAGUACGAGAGGACCGGGAAGGACGAACCUCUGGUGUACUAGUUAUCGUGCCCACAGUGUACGCUGGGUAGCCAAGUGCAGAGUGGAUAACUACUGAAAGCAUAUAAGUAGGAAGCCCACCCCAAAAUGAGUGCACUCCUAUUCUUACUUCCCUGAGAGCCCUAGUCGCAAACACGGCUGGGACAACGACGGGUUCUCUGUCCUUGCAGGGGAUGGAGCGACAAAAGUAUUGAGAAUCCAAGAUAAAGUCACGGCAAGAUGAGUCGUUUAUCAUUAUGAUAGGUGUCAAGUGGAAGUGCAGUGAUGUAUGCAGCUGAGGCAUCCUAACAGACCGAGAGAUUUGAACCU